ACCUACGGGAGGCAGCAGUAGGGAAUUUUCGUCAAUGGGCGCAAGCCUGAACGAGCAAUGCCGCGUGAACGAGGAAGGUCUUCGGAUCGUAAAGUUCUGUUGAAGGGGAAAAAGAGCGGAGAGAGGAAAUGGUCUCCGAUUGAUAUUACCCUUCGAGGAAGUCACGGCUAACUACGUGCCAGCAGCCGCGGUAAUACGUAGGUGGCGAGCGUUAUCCGGACUGAUUGUGCGUAAAGGGUGCGUAGGCGGCCUGCUAAGUCUGGAGUGAAAGGUACCGGCUCAACCGGUACAGGCUCUGGAAACUG
rnacentral:rRNA from 1 species